AUUGAACGCUGGCGGCAGGCCUAACACAUGCAAGUCGAGCGGAUGAAGGGAGCUUGCUCCUGGAUUCAGCGGCGGACGGGUGUGUAAUGCCUAUGAAUCUGCCUGGUAGUGGUGGAUAACGUCCUUAAACGGGCGCUAAUACCGCAUACGUCCUGAGGGAGAAAGUUGUGGAUCUUCGUACCUCUCGCUAUCAGAUGAGCCUAGGUCGGAUUAGCUAGUUGGUGGGGUAAAGGCCUACCAAGGCGACGAUCCGUAACUGGUCUGAGAGGAUGAUCAGUCAAACUGGAACUGAGACACGGUCAAGACUACUACGGGAGGCAGCAGUGGGGAAUAUUGGACAAUGGGCGAAAGCAUGAUACAGCAAUGCCGCGUGUGUGAAGAAGGUCUUCGGAUUGUAAAGCACUUUAAGUUGGGAGGAAGGGAAGUAAGUUAAUACCUUGCUGUUUUGACGUUACCAACAGAAUAAGCACCGGCUAACUUCGUG
rnacentral:rRNA from 1 species